CACCCUGAAAUAACAAAUGGGACUAAGUUCAAAUAGUUUCUUGCAUAUACUGUAUUAAAAGCUUCAAAAACUCACUCCCAAAACCUAUUUUAGUUUUGGCAUGACCAGUAGAUAUGACCCAAGGUGACUGUGAUGAGAUCUUGGGCCUUCUGGUAAAUGUUGGCAAGCCUUUCCGCUCUAAAGCUUUCUCUCCUCCACGCUUGAAGACCCAUCACCUUUCAGCGUGAGUUUAAAGAACAGACAGCAGUCCUCAGAUGACCUAUGGGCUGCAGCCGUGGUGCCUAAUGGCCAAAGCAAUUCCCUUAUGGAACUUAAAGCAACACCAUGGCACGCCUGAUUUGCUAUUUGUGAAGGAGUACCUUAAUUCAGCUCUAUGAAAGCAGUCAGUAGGAGCCUGGAGGCUGUGUUCACAGGAGCUGCAGUGGUCUUAAGCAAGGAUUAUACUUUCCGCAUCCGCUAGGGUCCGCUUGGCGAAAAAACAUUAUCAGAGGGGGUACGCGUAGGGUCUGUGCGGACGUACGUGCGCCGGCCCUUUUUUAUGGCCGCGUGGACCUGUCCGCACGCCGACUACGCUACCAAGUCACCAACCGAUCUACUGCGUGUGUGGAACGAGUCCGCCAAGAAUGAUGGCCAGCACGAUGAUUGAUGUGGAGAUGAAGUGUUGAAGGGAAAAGCCUGGAGGUUUCUACAUGAGACCAGCAGUCCCACUGGCCCCGGCGAGUGGACAACGUGACCGAACACAGCCUCCAAGACCGGCAGAGCCCAGUUUGACGAUAAUAAUUACAGCACCAUGAAGAUUUCUAGUGGCUCCAACCAGACCAACACACAGCUGGUUCAAGCAGAGACAGGAUUCCAUUCCUCUAACUGCCUGCCUGCCAGCGCGCUCUCUGCCAGCCACGCCAAACCAGCCACGCCAGCCUCAUUCAUUUUCUCUGCCUGCUCUGGUUACCAACCGCCAUUACUCCUCACCCUCUGCCCUCUGCUUUCUUCAGCAAGAUCGCCACAUCACCAUCCAUCUCCUCCUUUCACCCCCGUUUACAAUAUAUACUCUUUUGUUGUGUUACAUUUGGAAUUCGAGUCUGCUUCGGGGUUCUAACUCUGUGAAUCAUAACACAAACUCGCAGCUUGCACACAUCCCCCACCUGAAACUGGGUGUGUGUGUGGGGGGGGGGGUUACAACACAGUAUGGACCAGAGCUAGCUGGUUAGCAUGCUCACUUCAGUAGAUAUCUCUGCAACACGACACAUAGAUGUCUUUGAAAUAACGUCAUAGCUGUUACUUCUUCACAUUCUGGCCAUAUCUUACACAUUGUAACUUUAAAGAAAAGGGGAUGAUUGGAAGACUAAUAAACAGAACACAAACUACAAACAUCACUGGCUUAGUUAAUUAAUGACACAUAUUAGUAAAAAGCGCCAUUUCAAGCAUUUCUUACUAACCAAGCUAGCUAGCUCCACCCUCAUGUCUAAAUAUAGGCACUUCUGGUUCCAAAAAAACAAGAAGGUGUUAUGAGUUAAGGAUUCUGGUCUUGUUUUGGUUCCGUGUCUUGUGUUCUACUGUUUUGCCCAUGUUUGCUCUUUUUGUUGAACCUGUUUAAGUCUGUUUUUGGUUCUGUGUUUCUCUGUUUAGCCUUGUUUAUUAUUUUAUUCAUUCGCAUGUUUAGGUUUACUUUGUAUCUGUCUUGUCUCUUAUCUUAGGUCUUAGUCCUGCAUUUUAGUUCUUUGCCUCAGUUCUAAGUCCAGUGCCUUAGUUCUUAGUUCUGUGCUUUAGUUCAUGUUAGUGUUAUUCCUGGUGUGUGUAUUUCUGUGUUUCAUUAUUUGAUCUUUUCUGGUUUAGGAUUUUGUUUAGGCAAGUUUUUUUACCUGUUCGAGUCCUAUGUCUCCAUGUUUUAGUGUAAUUUAAUGUUUGUGUUCUGUUCAGUCAGUGUGGGAUCAUUGUAGUUAAUUGCUUGUUGCUUGUGGAUGCUCUGUAACCUGUGUUCAUCUCAGACUCAUGUUCCUGUCUGCCUGGCCUGCUUGUGGAUUAUUGUUUCAUCUUGCCUUCUUUGGAUUUACUUUUGGACCACUUUUUGUAAGUUUGCUUGUUUU